AGCGAACGCUGGCGGCAGGCUUAACACAUGCAAGUCGAGCGGGCCUUUCGGGGUCAGCGGCGGACGGGUGAGUAACGCGUGGGAACGUGCCCUCUGGUUCGGAAUAACUCAGGGACACUUGAGCUAAUACCGGAUACGCCCUUUUGGGGAAAGGCUUGCUGCCGGAGGAUCGGCCCGCGUCUGAUUAGCUAGUUGGUGAGGUAACGGCUCACCAAGGCGACGAUCAGUAGCUGGUCUGAGAGGAUGAUCAGCCACACUGGGACUGAGACACGGCCCAGACUCCUACGGGAGGCAGCAGUGGGGAAUAUUGGACAAUGGGCGCAAGCCUGAUCCAGCCAUGCCGCGUGAGUGAUGAAGGCCUUAGGGUUGUAAAGCUCUUUUAUCCGGGACGAUAAUGACGGUACCGGAGGAAUAAGCCCCGGCUAACUUCGUG
rnacentral:rRNA from 1 species